GAAAGUAUACUUUAUUAAGAAGAUUUAAUUUGCAUUUAAAAAGUAGGAUUACCUUAUUUUCA
rnacentral:tRNA from 1 species